GACGAACGCUGGCGGCGUGCUUAACACAUGCAAGUCGAACGGAAAGGCCCUGCUUUUGUGGGGUGCUCGAGUGGCGAACGGGUGAGUAACACGUGAGUAACCUGCCCUUGACUUUGGGAUAACUUCAGGAAACUGGGGCUAAUACCGGAUAGGAGCUCCUGCUGCAUGGUGGGGGUUGGAAAGUUUCGGCGGUUUGGGAUGGACUCGCGGCUUAUCAGCUUGUUGGUGGGGUAGUGGCUUACCAAGGCUUUGACGGGUAGCCGGCCUGGGAGGGUGACCGGCCACAUUGGGACUGAGAUACGGCCCAGACUCCUACGGGAGGCAGAAGUGGGGAAUAUUGCACAAUGGGCGGAAGCCUGAUGCAGCAACGCCGCGUGCGGGAUGACGGCCUUCGGGUUGUAAACCGCUUUCGCCUGUGACGAAGCGUGAGUGACGGUAAUGGGUAAAGAAGCACCGGCUAACUACGUG
rnacentral:rRNA from 1 species